GUCCUCUACACACUUGGGCACGGAAAUGCAGUACUGUAAGGAAGAGGGACCUCCAGCACACACAAACAUCAUCUUCAGCUGUGUGAAAGGGACGAUUGUGUUGGCGUUUGUAAGGCACACUAAGCAUGCUAAGUGGCGGGAUCAGGACUCUCCUGUCUGAACAUACUGAGGAGCAAAGCAGCCAUUGCGUGGGAUCCUGUGGUCUCCUGUCGGAGAGGCCACAGGACGACGGGAUGGAGCGUGACUGCUCGCCUUACCAAGGCGCACUGAGAAGCAAUCAGCGGGUCGGUCGCUUGUGGCCAGUCCUGGGGAGGUCUGAGUGGUGGUCCUUGGGAUAACCUUUGGCCUUAUGGAUUUGGACUCGGAGUUAGAAGAGCCCACCAUUUCAGAUGCAAUCACUUGUGGACAUGCGUUUGCAGACAGUCCUUAAUGCUGAAAACACAGAGAAUGGGUAAUUCAAGAGGCCUUUCUUUUAAAAUAGACUUUUGUGACCCACUAAUUGUAAGGUAUUGCCAGGUCACUUUGCGUGUGUCAUAAAGCUGACUCCCUUCUUGGUUGAAGGCCACAGAGGUAGUGGUUUGCUUUGACGGAAAUAGCUACAGCUGUGUCCCUUCCUGCUUUUACCUUUUCUUUGGCUUUUUCUCGGCACGUGGUGUCUCCACCAUUUCUUCUGCACAAAGACGUCUUCUGUUCAUCCUGAACAUUUUAAAAUGCAGAAUUUUAUGUGACUGCUUUUUUGCCUCACAAUUAUGCUGUGAAUUUUACAAAAAUUUAUUUUCUUUUUUGAUAAUUUAUUGUACCAAAGCUGUUUUUAUAGCACAUAGAUGUCUGUAACCAAUAAUGUAGCCGUUCUGCACUUUGACACAAGGUGUACCUAGACCAUUUUUAAAUGUCAGUUGAAAAUUAUGGCUGUACUAUUGCUUAAACAAAACUGG
rnacentral:lncRNA from 1 species